rnacentral:lncRNA from 1 species
CAUGUGUCCUGCAUUUUGGGAUCAGACAAUAUAAAUAUUUAUGAUACUACACAUGGGGAAAAGAUAAAGAAUGGGAUAGUUUUUAUUAAAAAGAAAAAAAAAAAGAGGUGAAGACUGAGUUAAGGGCUACAGAAGUCAGUCAGAUGGAGCCUUUGAACAUUCCAUUAGACUGAGUCAUGACUAACUUCUUACUUGCACCCUCUCUCUAAGAGGCUGCUGUUUGAAGAGCUCAGAGAUAAGGACCAUUUCUGUUCUUCCCCUAAAGGACCAAAAUAUUCCUUCUCCUUAUGACCCUCAGCCAGAUUUCUGCAUGACCAGCUCACAUAACUUGGCACUUCAGGAAAGACCUUUCCUACAAAAUAUAGCUAAAUUUCAGCAUAACCGCUGCUAUCUGAAAAUUCCAUGGCACAAACUGGAACAAAAUGUAGGGAUAAGUAUCAAAGAGUGAAUUAACUUGUAGACUGAGACUGAAGAACCGGCCAAACUGUGCUUACGUUGUAUUCUUUUUCUAAAAAAAUUAACACAAAGUUAUGCAAAGAAAUAUCUUGCAAACAGAUAUAUUUUCUUUCCCCAAAUGAGAACUCUACAAAUAAAGCAACCCCUUCUGAGCAAUAAAGGUGUGUCAGUCUGAAAAACAAAUGCCAGUAAGUCUUUAAAAUGGCAUUGUAUAUGAAUGGUAAAAUGUUGCGUUUGAGUGAUAUACUAGUUGAGUUCUUGUUUCUCAACCCAAGUCAAACUUCUAUUGUAAGUUAUGUGACCUUUGCUAUUGAACUAAAACACUAUUUUUCAUUUUAAAGGCAAUAUAUAUUCACUGGUGGGGUGGUGGUGGAAACCAUGACACCCUACCAUGCAAGUACAGCCACAUUUUUCCAUGCUAUUAUUAAAUAGCUAAAUUAGCUAA